rnacentral:rRNA from 1 species
UACGUAGGGCGCAAGCGUUGUCCGGAAUCAUUGGCGUAAAGAGCUCGUAGGUGGCUUGUCACGUCGGGUGUGAAAGCUUGGGGCUUAACUCCAGGUCUGCAUUCGAUACUGCCGUGACUAGAGGUCGGUAGGGGAGUGUGGAAUUCCUGGUGGAGCGGUGAAAUGCGCAGAUAUCAGGAGGAACACCCGUAGCGAAGGCGGCACUCUGGGCCGAUACUGACACUGAGGAGCGAAAGCGUGGGGAGCGAACAGG